rnacentral:rRNA from 1 species
AACGAACGCUGGCGGCAUGCCUAACACAUGCAAGUCGAACGAGACCAGCGGGUCGAGUGGCGCCCGGGGGCGUAAGGGGGGGGAACAUGCCCGUAGGUGCGGAAUAACUCGCCGAAAGGGGUGCUAAUACCGGAUAAUGUCUUCGAACAAAAGAUGUAUCGACCUUGGGUGGUCCCGAGUUGGAUUAGUUAGUUGGUGGGGUAAAAGACUACCAAGGCGACGAGUCAUAGGUGGUCUGAGAGGAUGAUCAGCCACACUGUGUGUGAGACACGGCCCAGACUCCUGCGGGAGGCAGCAGUCGGGAAUCUUACGCGAGGGGGGAGUGCCUGAUACUGCAAAGCCGCGUGAAGCAUGAACGACUUAGGCUGGUUGAGUGAUGUUGUCCGGAGGGAAGUAAAGCUUUCUUAUCCGGGAUGGUAAUGACGGUACCGGAAGAAUAAGCACCGGCUAACUACGUG